UACGUAGGGUGCGAGCGUUAAUCGGAAUUACUGGGCGUAAAGCGUGCGCAGGCGGUUCGUUAAGUCAGAUGUGAAAGCCCCGGGCUCAACCUGGGAACUGCAUUUGAAACUGGCGGGCUUGAGUGUGGCAGAGGGGGGGUGGAAUUCCGCGUGUAGCAGUGAAAUGCGUAGAGAUGCGGAGGAACACCGAUGGCGAAGGCAGCCCCCUGGGCCAACACUGACGCUCAGGCACGAAAGCGCUGGGGAGCAAACAGG
rnacentral:rRNA from 1 species